GAAAAAAGUUGGAGCAUAAAUGCAAAAAUAAACAUGGAAUAGAGCCUUUUAGUGCAAUUAAAGAUGUAUUGUAAUUAACAGAUAGUGGAUGUAACUAUGGGAUAAUUGCAACAGAAGUCUCAAAUCUUUUAAACACUUGCAGACUUUCCUCUAACUUUUUAAUCGUUACAGUCGUCACACCUAGCCUUUCAAACUGUAGCAUCAGAGGUCCCAAUGGAUGGAAAACAUCCAAUUUACCGUUACUUGACCAAAAAAGUGAGUUUGACCACAUUUUAAUUAUUUUUAUAGAGGGAAAAGUAGUAUUUUUCUACUUACCAAAAUGAACAACUAAUGUAUUUCAACGGAAAAAAGAAAAAGAAAAAAGCAUCUUCUUCCUCACACUUCCAAUUCCUAAAAAUCAACCACUACCUCAGGCCAAUGACCACUAACCACUGACACCCUCCUUUGCCUCCUGAACUAGUGCACAAAUAAACCCCAUCCUAGUCAAUGCACACAUACACUGAUUUCGCAUCUAUCGUUACUAUAGAAACUGAACCACACUUUCUCCUUGUCGUUGAUCUCGCCCUGCAAUAGCUAUAUUGCAGCUACUUAGAGCAAAAAAUAAAAAACUCAUAGCUAUAUUUGUCGAAAAUUCAACGCGAUAUCCAUAUUUAGCAAUUUGUUCAAUUGUUUGUAUGAUAACCGUGGUUGAGUCGAAUUUUUACGUAAUAUCUUACUUGGAAAAUGCUUGGUUUAUCUCCUCAAACAGUCCCUUGUUCUGAGAAAGCCCGAGAUUUGUGCGACCCUUUCUACCCCAUCUAGCUCUGUUUCGCUUGAGAGGGCAUUUGGGACCCUUUUUGUCCACCUGCAUCUUGUUUUACACCACAUCUUGCCUUUGUUCGAUGAACUAGAAAUGGCAAAAAAAAAUUUGAUUCAGAUUAUAUCUUUUCAUGAUUUUC
rnacentral:lncRNA from 1 species